CGAGAUCGAAAACAAAAGAGAGAGACGUAAGCUGCGUACGAACACAUACAAAGUCUGUAUCUAUAUAUAUCUACAUUUUUCGUUGGAGAGAGAAGAGAACCAUAGAAGCGAGCAAAUGGCUACAAUUUUGAGCAUUAUCGUAUAACGAGCUCCCGAAAUUUUGGUCGGAUUUUUGGGCCACUUUUUAUUUAACCACAACCCUUUUCAUCUUCGUUUUCAGUUCAAUUUUAUGCAUAUUCAUUCACCCACGAACCCACCAAUUUGAUCAGGGGUUUUUGCUGAUUCUCCAACAACAGUAUCCCUCAGGAUUGUGGAGGGCUCAAAUCAGCAAUUUUGUAAUCGUUGUUUUGAGCCCUCAUCAUUCAUCAUGCCUGAUGGUUAUUCGUCUUCCAAAAAGAAGGAUGGCUAUUGGGACGACGUUUGUGGUCAGGAGCCAAGCAAAAUGGCGCGAAUCCGUUGCUUGAUGCAAACCCUUGACAUACGAACGUUUAUCGUGUUGUUUCUAGUCAUUCCGAUCGGUUUCGUGGGUGUAUACUUCCAUGGACAAAAGAUUACCUACUUUCUAAGACCCUUAUGGCAAUCACCACCAAAACCUUUCAUUCCCAUUCCUCAUUACUAUCACGAAAAUGUUUCGAUGGCGUCGCUUUGCAAACUCCACGGUUGGGAAGUAAGGGAUUACCCGCGUAAAGUAUAUGAUGCGGUUUUGUUUAACAACGAAGUUGACAUGCUUACGAUUAGGUGGAAAGAACUAGACCCGUAUAUUACACAGUUUGUGCUUCUUGAAUCCAACUCGACAUUCACAAGCAUACCCAAACCUCAUUACUUUGCGAUCAAUCGCGAAAGAUUCGAUUUUGUCGAACCCCGUUUGACGUACGGCACGAUUGGUGGGCGUUUCAAGAAAGGCGAAAACCCUUUCGUUGAAGAGGCGUAUCAGCGAGUGGCGCUUGACCACCUUCUUAAAAUCGCAGGCAUUGAAGAGGGGGAUUUGUUGAUAAUGUCGGAUGUUGACGAGAUUCCGAGUGCGCAUACCGUCGAUCUUUUGCGAUGGUGCGAUGGCCCGCCUGCGAUCGUUCAUCUAAACUUGAAAAACUAUUUGUACUCUUUCGAGUUCAACGUUGCUCACACCAGUUGGAGGGCUUCUGUUCAUCAGUAUCAAAAGGGUACAACAAGAUACGCGCAUUACCGCCAAACGGAUUAUUUAUUAGCGGAUUCGGGGUGGCAUUGCAGCUUUUGUUUCCGCAAGAUUAGUGAUUUUGUGUUCAAGAUGAAAGCUUACAGCCACACGGACCGAUUGAGGUUCGCUCACUUUCUUGACCCGAAAAGGAUCCAGAAAGUGAUCUGCAAUGGCGAUGACUUGUACGAUAUGCUUCCCGAGGAGUACACGUUUAAGGAUAUCAUCGCGAGAAUGGGCCCGAUUCCUCAUUCAUAUUCAGCAGUCCACCUUCCUGCAUAUUUACUAAAUCAUGCUGAUCAAUACAGUUAUCUUUUGCCCGGUCAUUGCAUACGCGAAGUGGGUUGAAUCCGUUUUCGGUGUAACAUUUUGAUGAUACAUAUAGUUUUAACUUUUAAGCAGUUAAUUAGGUUGUGCUUUUGUUAAUUAGGAGCUCUGACUUGUACUGUACAAGAUGGUCAAAUGGGUUGGAUGUAUGGAUGAGCCUUUAGUGGUAGCUUGAGGUCAACUGGUGUUCAUGAUGUUGACUGAAAGUUAAGUGCACAUGUAAACAAAGUAGGUGUUUUCUAAUGAAGUUUCCAAUGAAUUUAAGAGGAGUGGACUUAGGAGACUUUAGAAUAGUCUUCUUGUCUGGUUUGUGAUGUUAGUGUUAUAUUAUCUUUCUUAGGCUACAAGGAGUGAUGCUACUUCAUCCUUGAGGAUGGAGCUUUACGUAGGCAGCCACGUCAUCCAAGUUGGAGGAUGAAUCGGUGAGGAUGGAGCGCGGAAUGGAGGAUGACACGGUUGAAGAGAGAGAGAGGGGUUCCACCUUUGUUGCGUCAUGAACAGCGAGAACAUGCCGUCGGAAGGGGCAGACCCACAUGGUCCGGGUCGGGGUCCACGGACCCCAAUCUUUUUUUAGAAAAUAAGAGAACUGGUAUGUUAAAUUUUUCAAGGACUCCAUAAAAUAAAUUAAUUGGACCCUUAAAAGCAAAGAUGGUGUGGUGGUAAAUCCCUUGUGUUCCAACAAAUAGAUCUCAAGUUCAAGU